rnacentral:rRNA from 1 species
CCUACGGGUGGCAGCAGUGAGGAAUAUUGGUCAAUGGGCGCGAGCCUGAACCAGCCAAGUAGCGUGAAGGAUGACUGCCCUACGGGUUGUAAACUUCUUUUAUAAAGGAAUAAAGUGAGGCACGUGUGCCUUUUUGUAUGUACUCUACGAAUACGGAUCGGCUAACUCCGUGCCAGCAGCCGCGGUAAUACGGAGGAUCCGAGCGUUAUCCGGAUUUAUUGGGUUUAAAGGGAGCGUAGAUGGGUUGGUAAGUUAGUUGUGAAAGUUUGGGGCUCAACCGUAAAAUUGCAAUUGAUACUGGCAGUCUUGAGUACAGUUGAGGUAGGCGGAAUUCGUGGUGUAGCGGUGAAAUGCGUAGAUAUCACGAAGAACUCCGAUUGCGAAGGCAGCUUACUAGACUGCCACUGACGUUGAUGCACGAAAGUGUGGGGAGCAAACAGGAUUAGAUACCCCUGUAGUC